CACACAGGGCUGAGUCUCUGGGGAAGGCAGAGCUGUGCUCUAGAAGAUGAGGCUGCUGGGUCUUCUCCUGUGCCUGAUGACAGCCCCCCAAGGUGUUCUGUCCCAGGUGCAGCUGCAGGAGUCGGGCCCAGGACUGGUGAAGCCCUCGCAGAGCCUGUCCCUCACCUGCACUGUCUCUGGUUACUCCAUCACCAGUGGUUACAGCUGGAACUGGAUCCGGCAGCUCCCGGGGAAGGGGCUGGAGUGGAUCGGGUACAUCUGUUCUGGUGGGGGCACAUACUACAGCCCGUCCCUCAAGAGCCGCACCUCCAUCACCAGAGACACGUCCAAGAACCAGUUCUCCCUGCAGCUGAACACUGUGACCUCCGAGGACACGGCCGUGUAUUACUGUGCGAGACACACAGUGAGGAGAAGUCCGUGUGAGCCCAGACACAAACCUCCCUGAGGGGACAGGAGGGGCUGGGCUUCAGGGGGCGCUCGGAACACCAGGGGGCGCUCAGGACACACUGAGCACAGGGACCAGCCCCAGGAGCUUGUGAAGACCUGGGUGGGGAAGGGAUUUCCUUUGGGAACAGAGGUUUCCUGUAAAACUUCUCAGCUGCCCCCAGGGACAAGUCUUGAAUCAUUUUUCUUACUCUUAUGUCUCCUAUUCUCAGAAGUCAAUA